AGUAAUAGAAUAGGAAUCUCAAGGGUGGUCAGCUCAUCCCCGCAUGAAGGGGGGUGGUGCUGUGACGGUGUUCGAAGCAUUAAUGUUUGCGUGUACCUUUGCAAGCUUAAUCAUUGCCAUUCUGUCUUUUAACCACAGAAAAUAAUCCACCCUUGAGCUUGGCCGCUUAGGUGGAUUAUUCCCAAGAAUAAGCUGUCCCCCUUGUAGGGAACAUUCUAUUGCACUGGCCGCGUGGUGUUCCAGCACCACCG
rnacentral:sRNA from 1 species